rnacentral:rRNA from 1 species
CACGUAGGGGGCGAGCGUUGUCCGGAUUUAUUGGGCGUAAAGAGCUCGUAGGCGGCUCAGUAAGUCGGGUGUGAAAACUCCAGGCUCAACCUGGAGACGCCACCUGAUACUGCUGUGGCUAGAGUCCGGUAGGGGAGCAUGGAAUUCCUGGUGUAGCGGUGAAAUGCGCAGAUAUCAGGAGGAACACCAGUGGCGAAGGCGGUGCUCUGGGCCGGAACUGACGCUGAGGAGCGAAAGCCAGGGGAGCAAACGGG